UGUAAACCAAUGAUAAAGAAAAGUAGUUAAAAAACUAAUGGAAAGAGAAAGAUACAACUGGUGAAAGUAUCUACAUUAAGAGUUAACGAAGACACUUUUGAGGGCUUUUUUGAAAAUAGUAGAAAAAGACGACUACUCACGUUACGAGUAUGAGGGCCUAGUUGUACUAGGAACUAAGGUGGUACCGCGGAUAUAUUUCGCCCUUAGA
rnacentral:ncRNA from 1 species